CUGCACUCACUUGCUGUCCAUCGAGAUGCUCCCCGAACGAAUCAUCGUACUGGGACUGUCUCAAAAUGAGUGAAAUAUGAGGUGAUUUGACUGAGACAGAUCACAUUCCUGUCUCAGAAUUAGAGAAAUACAAUCUCACAGGAUAUUUACAGCGGAAGGGCUGGAAUGAUGUUUCCCACAAGGUGUGGAACCAGCGGUCGCAGUCUCAAAAUCCGAGGACAACUCAGCAGGACUGAGAUGAGGAGAAAUUUCCUCACCCAGAGUGCAGUGAAUCAUUGCAAUUAUCUCCACAAGGUUUCUAAAUUGAAUAGACAAAUCCUGAGGCUCAGCGGUGAUGGGAAGUUGCAGGAAUCUGGUGCUGAGGUCAAAGGACAAGCAUAUUCUGACCGAAGUUUGGAAUCGGGAACGAGUCGACCCGGUGAGAGACCCGAGAUUGGGAGCAGCUCCCCGGGUAAAGGCUGCAACAGCGGCCGGUGUUUUGAACCCUUCCGAUGGCGGAGGUGACGAUUCGGGCGGAGAUUCCGUGAUAAGUUUCAGCCACACAGGGGGUGCCCGGUCUUUCCCCGCCAUGGAUCGGGGCCUGUUGUCCGGAGUUUCCUCCCAGUCCUGUCUCCUACUGCUGGGAUACGGGAGCUGGCCCGCAGCGGCUGCCGAUGGAACUCCGGUGCUGUGAGCGCUCCCCUGUGCAAAAGGACAGGCUGAAGGCCCUGGGAGAACCAGGCGCAAAGGGAAACUCGGACUUUAGAAAAAGGAAACUGGAACAGGCCAUUCGGCCCGUUGUGUCUGUCCUGCCUUUCACGCAGAACAUGCCGCGGAGCAAGCAGGGUGUCACAAAGAGAGGAAUAUGGGAGUGUUGUAUGUCUGAGCCCAGCUGUGUGUGUUUGUGUAUCAGAAUCAGGUUUAUUGCAUCUGUGGUGAAAUUUGUUCCUUUGUGUCUGCAGUACAUUGCAAUAUUUACUAAUAAAAACCACAGAUUACAAUUAGAAUGUGUAAAAUUAUAUUUAGAAUGUAGUGCAAAACGAGAGGGAAAAUACUGAGGGGGUGUUGAUGGGUUCAUUGUCCAUUCGGAAAUCUGAUGGUGGGGAAGAAGCUGUUCCUAAACCAGUAAGAGUAUCUUCAGGGUCCUGUACAUCCUCCUUGAUGGUCGCAAUGAGAAGAGGUCAUGUCCUGGGUGAUGGGGGUCCUUAAUGAUGGAUGUCACCUUUUUGUGGCCUCAUCUUUUGAAUGUGUCCUGGAUGCUGUGGAGUCCAGUGCCCAUGAAGGAGCUGGCUGAGUUUACAACUUUCUGCAGCAUUUUCUGAUCCUGUGCAAUGGCCUCUCCACACCAGGCAGUGAUGCAACCAGUUAGAAUGCUCUCCACAGUACAUUUGUAGAAAUUAGCAAAUGUCUUUAGGGACAGACCGAUCCCCCUCAAUUUCCGAAUUAAGUAUAGCCGAUGUUGUGCCUUCAUUGUAACUGCAUUCAAUAUGCUGGGCCCAGGAUAGACACACAGACGUGGUGUUGAGAGAGUAGAGCAGUGGGCUGAGCACGCAUCAUUGAGGUGUGCCAGUGUUGAUUGUCAGCAAGGAGGAGAUGUUGUUUCUGAUCCACACAGACUGUGGUCUCCUGGUGAGGAUCCAGUUGCAGAAGGAGGUACAGAGGCCCAGGUUUUGGAGCUUGUUGAUUACAAUUGAGGGUCUGAUUGUGUUGAACGCUGAGCUGUAAUCAGCAGCCUGACUUGUGUAUUGCUAUUGUCCAGGUGAUCUAAGGCUGAGUGGAGAGUCAGUGAGAUUGCAUCUACUGUAGAUAUAUUGUGGCGAUCGGCAAAUUGCAGUGGGUUUGGGUCCAUGCACAGACAGGAGUUGAUUCUAGACAUGACCAACCCCUCAAAGCACUUCAUCAAUGCUGUGUGUGUGUGUGUGUGAUACUGCAGCUUUGUAAACUUCAAAGGAAGGAGAGGCACUGCCGUGCUUUCUUCGUAUUUGCACUUGCAGUGCUUAUAAAAAGUAUGCGGCCAUCUUGGAAAUCAUCAUCUUUUAUUGUUUUACAACAUUAAGACAGAGUGGAUUUAGAUUUGUUUUAUUCACACGAAUCAGCAGAAAUAAAAAACUCUGUUGUGUCAAUGUGAAAAUAGAUCACCAAAAAGUGAAAAAAGUAAUUACAAGUAUAAAAUAGAAAAUAUUUGAGUGCAUCAGUAUUCACCCCCUACAUGUCAGUAUUCUAAACCUUGCAAUCCCAUUUCACCAGUUAGAAGAUUUGAUUUCAUUUUUACAUACAGAACCUCCCCACCCCUCUGCCUACCUGCCUGUCCAUUCAGUACAAUCUGUAUCCUUGCUCAUGAAGCUCCCAGCUAUAAUCUUCCUUCAGCCACCAUUUAGUGAUGCCCAAAUGCCAAUCUGUAACUGUGACACAAGUUCAUCUCCCUUACUCCAUGUAUUGCACACAUUCAAAUAUAAAACCUUCAGUUCCGUAUUCAUCCCCUUUUUCAUUUUCUCACCCUUUUGCAAUGCAACUCAUCCCGCCCACCGACGUUUUGCCCUAUCGUCAGCCUCUCAAUGGUGGCAGUCUCAGUACACACUGCUGCUGUUUGAAGACUAACAACAUUCUCCUCAGCCCAUCACUCCAGUUCAGAUCUGCUGCCAAAUUAAUUUAAAACCUCUCGGACAGCUCUGGCAAUCCUACCCGCAUGGAUAUCAGCAGACACUGACCCUCCCCCCACCGAGUUCAGGUGUAAACAGUCCCUGUUGUACAGGUCCUAUGUUCACUAAUGAUCCCGGAAUCAGAAGCCCUGCCCCUCCGCACCAGUUUCACAGCCACACUGUCAUCUGUCAGAUCAUCCUGUUCUCACCUUCACUGGCACGUGGCUCAGGCAGAAUCGAGGCAUCACUGCGCUUGAGGUCUCUUUUCAGUGUUCUACGUCACUCCCUAAUACGUUUGUAUAUCUAUUGAGGACCGCACCUUUCCUACCUAUGCGAUUGGUCCAAUAUGCACCAAUAUUUCUGGUGGCCACAGUUGCCGGCUCCUUCUGCUCCCCUCCCCUGUGUGAUCAAUUGGAGACCCCUCAGAGGUCAUUGAAGUAGCUGCAGACGUCCAACAGCGGCCUCGAUAACCACCUGCCGAGGCUCUCUCUGCAUCGGCUGUUGUUUCCACACCCGGAGGGGCCGGGACGGAACUGCUCCAUGAAUUAACACCUGUUAGCCGGGGACAGACACUACAGAUAACAAAAUCAAAGGGAAUAAGAUCUGAGCCAGCAGAUCGAUAUUUCGGGGAAAUUUCAGACAGUUUCCCGGAAUAAUGGUGGGAGGAAUCUCAAUUCCUAAGCCCUGGACCCCGAUGACUUAUGGAGUAUAAUUAGUGAUGCUUCUGACCCGCCAGAAAAACCAAUGGUGUUCCAUAAAUGGCUCACACAGGCUUGCCAAACUCUCCCGACACUACCCGGGGUCUUGUGCCCCUCCUCAGGGUUAUAUAUGGAACCUCUCGGGCAGGGACAGGGAGUGGGUUUCUCUUUCCAGACCCUGCCCGUGAUCUCGCCCCACCAGGGUCAGGAACAGUUAUUACCUCAACCAUCAGGCUGGGAACAACACAGGAUAACUGCACUCACCUGCUGUCCAUAGAGAUGCUCCCACAACAAAUCAUCGUACUGGGACUGUCUCAAAAUAAGUGAAAUGAAAGGUGGUUUGACAGAGACAGAUCGCAUUCCUGUCUCAGAAUUAGAGAAAUGCAAUCUCACAGGAUAUUUACAGCUGAAGGGCUGGAAUGAUGUUUCCCAUAAGGUGUGAAACCAGCGCUCACAGACUCAAAAUCCGAGGACAACUCAGCAGGACUGAGAUGAGGUGAAAUUUCCUCACCCAGAGUGCAGUGGAUCAUUGCAAUUAUCUCCACAAGGUUUCGAAAUUGAAUAGACAUAUCCUGGGGCUCAGCGGUGAUGGAAUUUGCAGGAAUGUGAUGCUGAGGUCAAAGGACAAGCAUGUUCUGAGUGAAGCGCAAAAGAAGCGCAAGGGGCCAAAUGGCCGCAGCUCUAUUUCUUAAUUUCUGAAAGACGAGUUUACCUUUGCGCCUUACUGUUUCUUGUCCUGUCAGAUUGAACAGGGAGCGCUGAGUCUAUCUGCUGCCGCUGCGGUUAUUUCCUGUUCUCGUUGUUUAUCUGCAUUGGCGAAGUUUGUUGACUGAUGCACUCUGGCUGAUCUUUCAGUGAUCCAGAAAUGUAGGAGUUGUAUGUGGCGACUUAUCUGUACUCUGAUAAUAAAAUUUACUUUGAACUUUGAGCCUUGGGGAACUUGCUUUGUUUCUGAGACCAAACUGUGACUGACAGCUCCAGCUCCCGGUAGCAGCCCGUCCUCAGACACACUCACAGCCAAUCAGAGAACACCACUGGGAGAAUCUUGCCUCCAUUGGCUGAGAUGUGUCAGUGGGCGGGACGCUGAGCGGACCGAAGUUUGGAAUCGAGAACGAAUUUACACAGUGAGAGACCCGGGAUUGGCAGCAGGUCGCCGUGUUUCAGCCACACAGAGGGUGCCCGGUCUUUCCCCGCCGUGGGUCGGGGCCUGUUUCGGGAGUUUCCUCCCAGAACUGUCUCCUGCUGCUGGGAUAGGGGAGCUGACCCGCAGCGGCUGCGGAUGGAAUUCCGGUGUGUGAGCGCACCCCUGUGAAAAGGUUAGGCUGAAGGCCCAGGGAGAACCAGGCACAAAGAAUCCCAACAGAUUUGCCAGAUCUAAGAUUGUCCCUUGAGACGGAACAAGCAGCUCACUUGUGCAGCGGACCAACAGUCCUCGGGUUGCAAGCCUGCGGAACCAAGAUUAUUGUGCUGACCACAACCCCUCAGUCGGGCGAUAAUACAGCUGUACAGAUGAGAUAAGUGCAGACGGUUGGGAAAGAACAUUCUGAACUCACACCUCUGUUCUGCUAAAGACACACACACUUGUCUGCUGCUGGAUCCAAACACAAGCUGAUUUCCCUCUCACCCAGAGUUCCACAAAUGUGGAAUUUCAAUGACCUAGUGUUAAAAUAAAUGAUUUUCCACAAUGACUGUGCGUUUCUAUUUUUAUUGCAGCAUCGGAUCCGGAGUAACAAUUAUUGUCUUUUCCUUUCCGGUUGUGUCCGGAAAAUGGCAUCAAAGGCAGGAGCGCUGAGAAACAGACUUGCCGCAGCAUCACAGACACAUGGCAAAGCCGCGGUCACAACAACAUCAACACAAGUUAUUCAAACAGAAGGAACUCAAAUAGAACAAAAACAUUUAGAGCACAGUGGUCAGAGUGUUCACAGUACAACAUCGCCCUCACAGUGUUCAAAACUGAAGUGUCCAGUUCCAGAUAAAAUGGUAAACCAGCUUCCUGUCCGUAAAAAUGAAUGCAACUGAUUGUCACAGACAGGAGAAAAUCUGCAGAUUCUGGAAAUCCAAGCAAAACACACGGAAUGCUGGAGGAACUCAGCAGACCAGGCAGUAUCUAUGGAAAAUAAUACUUUCGACGUUUUGGGCCUUGGCCAUUGACAAGACUUGACUUUAGAACAUCCAAUAGAUUGAGCACUUCUGAUAUCAGUCUCACCGGCCUAUCAUUGCCUGGCUGAGAACAGUAGGUGGUGAAUGUGUUGAAAUCGUAGCCACAGGUGGAUGUGUUGGCAAGUGAUGGAGUGUAAAUAUGGCGGAGGCUGAUAGGUUCAUGAUCACUCAGGUUAUUCCGGUAGGAGGACAGAAGAAUGGAUUCGUGAGGGAAAUUGGUCAGUCACGAUGAAAUGACGGAGCAUACUCGAUGGAACGAAUGGCCUGAUUCUGUUCCUAUGUCUUGUGGUCUAAGCACAUAUAUACCUCCCCCCCCCUCCACUUUCCAGUUUCUGCAGAAAUCGCUCCCUUCAUUUGCCCUUUUCCACUGAUGUUCCUCCUGGCACUUACCCCUGAAAGUGAGAGGAAUACUACACCUGCCCGUUCAUCUCCUCCCUUACUCCAUUCAUCGCCCAAAGAGGUUCUUCCAAGUGAGGCAACGCUUCCUCUAUUGCAUCCGCUGCCCCUGAUGCAGCCUUCUCUAUAUUGGUGGGACCCGGAGUUAAUUGGGGGGGGAUCGUUUUGAUAACACUUCCUUUCCAGCUGCCAAAGUAAAACUUCCCUGUCCCUGAACAAUUUUAUUCAUAUCAUCAUUCCCGUUCCAACGUUUCAGUCCAUGGCUUCCUCUUAUUCCAUGAUGAAGCUCACCUCCGGCUGGAUAAACGGCACCUUAUAUUUUUUUUUUAUAUAAUCUCCAACCAGAUGGCAGGUGUAUCGAUUUCUCCUUCCAGUCAACUUUAUCCUUCCCCCUCCAUUCACCUUUUUUUCCCCACUCUGGCUCUGACCUCUUCUGGUCACCUCACUAUAGGGAGGAUGUGGAAGCAUUGGAAAGGGUACAGAGGAGAUUUACCAGAAUGCUGCCUGGUUUAGAGAGUAUGGGUUAUGAUCAGAGAUUAAGGGAGCUAGGGCUUUACUCUUUGGAGAGAAGCAGGAUGAGAGCAGACAUGAUAGAGGUGUACAAGAUAUUAAGAGGAAUAGAUAGAGUGGAUAGCCAGCGCUUCUUCCCCAGGACACCCUGCUCAGUACAAGAGGACAUGGCUUUAAGGUAAGGGGUGGGAAGUUCAAGGGGGAUAUCAGAGGAAGGUUUUUUUUACUCAAAGAGUACAAGUGCGUGGAAUGCACUGCCUGAGUCAGUGGUGGAGGCAGAUACACUAGUGAAGUUUAAGAGACUACUAGACAGGUUUAUGGAAGAGUUUAAGGUGGGGGGGUUAUAUGGGAGGCAGGGUUUGAGGGUCGGCACAACAAUGUGGGCCGAAGGGCCUGUAAUGUUCUGUACUAUUCUAUGUUCUAUGUUCUAUUUUCUUCUUGCUUGCAUAUCACCUCCCACUGUUGCCACUCCUCCUUCCCUUUCUCCCAUGACGCAGCCUCACCCGCUGAGUUCCUCCAGCAAUUUCUGUGUGUAACUUUCCCACCUAGUGGUGUCCUACCGUAAUGGCAGGUCCUCUGUGCGGAGCACUCUCACCCGGAGGGUUUCUGCCGCAAUGGCCGCUCCCUUGUUGACAACACUCCUACCUGGUGGUGUCCUGCCGCAAUGACCGGUCCGCUGUGGACAACACUCAACAGUUAACAGACGACAGUCAACGUUUUGUAAAAUGACACUUCAUCAUGACCGGAAAGGACGCAGAAAGAUGCUAGACUGAUAAAGUGAGGAAAGUGGUAGAAGUACAAGCUGGCAGAUGAGGGACAAGGUUGUGGGAGGGGAUGUAAUUGAACUCAAAGUCUUGGAGAUGAGAGUUGGAAAAGUUAAACAGCUGCAGAAGAACGAAUCUAAUAGAGGAGUAGAGUGGAGCACUGACGAAAGGAAGAAUGAGUGGAACCAGGGAAAGGUAAUGGGCAGACGAGAAGAGAAGGGGUGACAGGGUAACUAGUAGCACACACAAAAUUGCCCGUAGGAACUCAGCAGGUUAUGCAGCAUCUAUGGAAGGGAGUACGGACAGUCGACGUUUCCAGCUGAGACACCAGCAGGACUGGUGGAAUAACGAUGAGGAGUCAGGCUGAGAGGCUGUGGGGAUAAUGGGGAGAAAUACAAGGUGAUAUGUGCAACCCGGAGGAGGGUGUAGGGGUGAAGUAAAGAAGGCAAUGGAAGAAAGAAAAAGAUGCUGGAGCACCAGAUGGAGGCAAUACCCAUCUGUCCUCUAUCAGAUUCCCCUUUUCCAGUCCUGUAUCUCUGACCAGUCAACUUCCCAACUCUUCACUAUUCUGACGUGGAUACAAUCCCUUAAUACAAUCUUGAUUUUAUCGCUCCCUCAGCGACCGCAAGCUGCCCAGGCCCCGACUCAGCAAAGCAGUCCCAAACCAUAAUGCUCCUUCCAUCCGGCUUCACAGUUAGGAUGAGGUUUUGGUGUUGGUGGGCAGUGCUCUUUUCCCUCCAGACACAGCAAUGUGAAUUUCUGCCAAAACCUUCAACAUUUAUCUCGCCUUUCCUCAGAACAUUGUCCCAGAAACCUUGUAGAGCAUCCAGCUGCUCUUCCUUAAAGUUGAGAUGUUCAGCAAAGUGUUUUUUGAAGAGCAGUCGUUUACUCCGCGGUGUCCGUCCAUGAAAACCAUUCUUGCUCACUGUUUUCAUACAGUGGACACAUGAGACUUUAGAGAGUCCGGCAUGUUUCCUGCUGUUACCCUUGGGCUAGUUUUCAUCUCGUUCAGGAUUCUCUUGAUGUGAUUUUUGCAGGAUGUCCAGUCCCAGGGAGAGUGACAACUGUACUGAAUUUCCUCCGUAUAUAGAUAAUUACCUUUCCUGUGGACUGAAGAACACUCGGGACUUUAGAAAUGCUUUUGUAGCAUUUUCCAUUUUCAUGCAGCUCUACUGAACUUCUAAGGUUCUCGGAAAGAUUUCUUUUGAUCGAGGCAUGGUCCAUAUAAACAGUUACAUGCUCUGUCGGUAACCUGACCUCCUGAAUCCUUUUUAAUUAUAGGGCAAGUCAUCUCUACACCAGCAAUUCCAA